UACGUAGGGGGCUAGCGUUGUCCGGAAUCAUUGGGCGUAAAGCGCGUGUAGGCGGUCCGGUAAGUCCGCUGUGAAAGUCGAGGGCUCAACCCUCGAAUGCCGGUGGAUACUGUCGGGCUAGAGUGCGGAAGAGGAGAGUGGAAUUCCUGGUGUAGCGGUGAAAUGCGCAGAUAUCAGGAAGAACACCCGUGGCUAAGGCGGCUCUCUAGUACGGUACUGACGCUGAGACGCGAAAGCGUGGGGAGCGAACAGG
rnacentral:rRNA from 1 species